UAGCGUACACAUAACGCGAAGCAGGGAAACAAAUCUUCUGGGGGAAGAAGAAGGGAAAUUUCUUGUUCUCUACGUUUUCAGUUUGAGAGCAAACGCGAGAUUGUUUCUCUAAUUUCAGGUCUCGCUCAAUCUCCAUAUGGCCCAAACGCAAGGUUGCUUUCUCAAAUUUCAGGUUGUUGGUUGUGAUAUAUUAAUGAGGGGCGGAAGCUACAGUUACAGUCCUUCGCCACCAAGGUCCUAUAGCAGGGAGAUAUAGAAGCCCUAGCCCUUGUGGACACUAUGGAGGACCUGGUAGAGAUCUGCCCACUAGUCUUCUGGUUCGCAACCUUCGUCGUGACUGCAGGCCUGAAGACCUACGUGGACCAUUCGGUUGAUUUGGUCAUAUUAAAGACAUUGACUUGCCCCGUGACUAUUAUACUGGACUAGAAGAAGUUUGACUUGAAUACAUUGUGAAGAAGUUCAACUCUUGAAGAUUACAGACUCAAUUUUAACUUUGGCUUCCACAAGGUCAGCUGGCAAGGAGCCGCGAGGGUUUGGCUUUGUCCAGUUUGUAUAUCCAGCUGAUGCUGCAGAUGCCAAGCAUUAUCUGGAUGGUGAGAAUUUUCUUGGUCGGGAACUGAUGGUGGUAUUUGUGGAGGAAAACUGGAAGAAACCUUCAGAAAUGCGAGCAAGAGAUCGUAUAAGGUGCAAGUCUGAUCCAGUGAUCUUAGGACUCUCGAUGAUGGGAAUCAAAAGAAUCGGCAUCUUUGGCUGUGGAUGGCAAUUGAGCUGUUUUCCUGACUUGGCUGUAUGGUCCACGAAGAGGAUUACUGUUUAUUUAGAGCAAUCUCAUUUACAUUUUGCUGCAAGUGCCGUUGGUUGGAAGUGAGAUGAAGAUAACUUUGCCUAUAAAGUGCCAUAUAAAGAAAAAGUUACCACUUUGAUAAGGGUAAGACUUCCGGUUAAGCAAUUGAAAUUUUGUCCAUAAUUUCAACCCUUUACUACAAGGAUUUAGGAUUUUAAAUAGGGAUGGCACAACUUUGUUUGGUCUGGAUGACCGAAUUUGUUCAACUCGAAUUAAAUCAAAUUUGAACACAA